GCACUCACUUUAGCAGCACAUGUACUAAAACUGGAACAAUACAGAGAAUAUUAGCACAGGUCCUGUAAAAGGAUGACAUACAAAUUCAUGAAGAAUUCCUUAUUUUU
rnacentral:snRNA from 1 species